rnacentral:rRNA from 1 species
UGGCUCAGGAUAAACGCUGGCGGCGUGCCUAACACAUGCAAGUCGAACGUUCUCUUGUUUUUCCGGAAGCAAGAGGGAGUGGCGGACGGGUGAGUAACACGUGGGAGCCUGCCCUCGGGUGAGGAAUACCACCGGGAAACCGGUGACAAGACCGCAUACGUUCCCCUGCGGGGGAGCAAAGCUUCUCUUUUCGGAGAGGGGCGCCUGGGGAGGGGCCUGCGGCCGAUUAGCUAGCUGGUGGGGUAAGAGCCUACCAGGGCGACGAUCGGUAGCUGGUCUGAGAGGACGAGCAGCCACACUGGGAUUGAGAACGGCCCAGACUCCUACGGGGGGCAGCAGUGAGGAAUUUUCGGCAAUGGGGGCAACCCUGACCGAGCAACGCCGCGUGCAGGAAGACGGCCUUCGGGUUGUAAACUGCUUUUCUGUGGGACGAGGAAGGACGGUACCGCAGGAACAAGCUCCGGCUAACUACGUGCCAGCAGCCGCGGUAAGACGUAGGGAGCCAGCGUUGUCCGGAGUUACUGGGCGUAAAGGGCACGCAGGCGGUCAGCCGCGUUGCUACUGACAGCCGGUGGCUUAACUGCCGGAGGCGUAGCAAAACGGGUUGACUUGAGGCUCAGAGAGGCAAACGGAAUUCCGCGUGGAGCGGUGAAAUGCGUAGAGAUGCGGAAGAACACCAAAGGCGAAGGCAGUUUGCUGGCUGAGACCUGACGCUCAGGUGCGAAAGCCAGGGGAGCGAACGGGAUUAGAUACCCUGGUAGUCCUGGCGGUAAACGAUGACCACCAGGUAUGCGGAGGAUCGACCCUCUGCGUGCCGGCGCUAACGCACUGAGUGGUCCGCCUGGGGAGUACGGUCGCAAGAUUAAAACUCAAAGGAAUUGACGGGGACCCGCACAAGCAGCGGAGCGUGUGGUUUAAUUCGAUGCAACGCGAAGAACCUUACCAACGUUUGACAUGCUCUCGCACCUGCUAGAGAUAGCAGUGCCCGCAAGGGACGGGAGCACAGGUGCUGCAUGGCUGUCGUCAGCUCGUGCCGUGAGGUGUUGGGUUAAGUCCCGCAACGAGCGCAACCCCUGUGGCCGGUUGGAUUCUCCGGCCAGACUGCCCCGAUCAACGAGGAGGAAGGUGGGGAUGAUGUCAAGUCAGCACGGCCCUUACACGUUGGGCGACACACACGCUACAAUGGCACCGACAACGAGGAGCCAACCCGCGAGGGGGAGCCAAUCUCAGCAAACGGUGUCUCAGUUCGGAUUGCAGGCUGCAACCCGCCUGCAUGAAGUCGGAGUUGCUAGUAACCGUGAGUCAGCACAUCACGGUGAAUACGUUCCCGGGUCUUGUACACACCGCCCGUCACACCACGAAAGUCGGUCACACCUGAAGCCCUCGGGCUAACCCUUCUCGAAGGGAGGCAGAGGUCGAGGGUGGGGCUGGUGAUUGGGGUGAAGUCGUAACAAGGUAGC